CCCUUAGAUGUCCUGGGCCGCACGCGCGCUACACUGAACGGAUCAGCGCGUUUUCCCUUCCCGAGAGGGACGGGUAACCUGCUGAACCCCGUUCGUGGUAGGGAUCGGGGCUUGCAAUUAUUCCCCGUGAACCAGGAAUGCCCAGUAAGUGCAAGUCAUAAGCUUGCGUUGAUUACGUCCCUGCCCUUUGUACACACCGCCCGUCGCUACUACCGAUUGAGUGAUCCGGUGAAUAAUUCGGACUGCAGCAGUGUUCAGUUCCUGAACGUUGCAGCGGAAAGUUUAGUGAACCUUAUCACUUAGAGGAAGGAGAAGUCGUAACA
rnacentral:rRNA from 1 species